GCAUAAAUUACGUUUUUGAUCGAUUUUGCAGGUUUUCGGUUCGUUAGUUGGUUCUAUUUGACGGUUGUUAGGUUUUACUUGUUCGAAAUUCGUCUAAUUGGUAUUGUUUCGAUCCAUGAUGUUGUGUAAUGCUGUGUUCUGCAAGAUAUGUGUGAAAGUAAUCACUGUACAUGUAAGGAAGAAGAUGUAAUUGGUUGUAUGCUUCGACUUUAGUUUGCAAAUGCUUGAGAUGCAAUUAGGGUCGGGAUGGUUGCCGCCUGAGGGUUGAGCUUGCUCAUGGUGGUUGUGGUAGCUAGGUGACGGUCGUGGUAGACUGGUAGCUAUUUGGGCUCCACUAGAGGUAGGCACAACUACACAGGUGCAAGAGAAUAAUAAUGUUGUUUUUUUUUUUACUUUAUUUUGUGCUAUAUGUAAUCUAUCAUAGUUGCUACAUUUGAGGUGGUGAACGUGGCCGAGGUGGUGGGAGUUUUGGCAUUUCACAACAUUCCGAGUAUUGAGGUCAGAACUGAGAUAUACAUUUAUAACAUAAUUAUUAAUUAUAGAGGUGGCAAAACGAGUGGGUUGGGUAAUUGACAAAAAUGGGUUCGAGUCAAAGUGGAUCUUAAGGUAACAUUAUCUUUUAAUGCUUGUAGCUUUUUAUUUAUCCAUUGCCUUAAUAACUGGAAUAAAAAUAUACAGGAAGGCAAGGUCAGAAAGCAUUACAUGUAUAGAACCCAAUUAUCUUUAAGUAUUAAAAUCCGGCUAAAAGUGGAAACUUUUAUCAGCAUGUAUAUAAAUUUUGGCUGCAGAGGUGAAUGAGUAUGAUAUCACAAUAUCACAUAAAGCUGCCUAUUUUUUUUUUUUUCAAAUCACAUAACUAAACAUAUACCCUAGGGUAGGCUGUUCCUCCUGGCGUGACCUGAACACGACGAAAAUACUCAGGUUUGUUUUAGGUUAGCAAAAACUGACCCGUUUAAAAAAAGUGUGGUGUUUGAGUUGACGCGCUACAUUAACGGGCCGUGUUCGAAUUGACAUGUUUAAAAAUGGGCUAACCCAUUAAUCUCUUUCAUUUAAGCGUUUUAAAAUAAAAAUUAAAUUUAAUGUUCGUAACGAAAAAUUGUUACAUGCUUAAUUUACAUUCGUAAUAUACUAAAAUUGAUCGUGUUAUAAUUCCCGAAUUCUAGAUAAAAUUUUAGCAAAAUGAGUUAAACGAUCGUGUUCGGAAUGACCCGGAUUCUGUAUAUCUGGGAUAGGGUUGAAAAUAAAAAAAAAUAGGUUGUGUUCAGGUUCCAAUAUUCAACCCGGUAGGAUUGACACCUCUAACAUACGCAUGUUACUAUUCAUCUUCCCCAAUUAGAUUUAGGGUUACAAACGGCAAACUAUAUCUCAAAUCACCAUCUCAAAAUUUCAGCUUCGAUUGACAAAUGAAAAUGUGUGUAGUAAAAUAAAGGUUUGAGUAUCUACAAAAUAGAAUAUAAAUUCUUGGCACCUGUGAUAUAACAGAUUCUUCUCCCAAACGCUUAGACCGUACGAUAAUACACCAACAAAGUUAAGAAACUAACUUUGAAUAGCAGUGGUGUAGACAUUAUAUAAAAGAAUCACACUUGUAAGUGAGUGUUUCUUAGUUCAUAACUUCAUAUUAUUCUAAAGAACAUAUGAAAUCAAACAUCUUUUAAUAUUCAUAUAGAGCAAUAAAUGAGUUCAACAAUUAUAUAUGGAUCAAUAUGAUAAUCUAAUAAUGAGUUCUACUACAACUAACAUAAUAACUACAACCCUUUGUUCAGCGACAAAUAUUAUCAUCCAAAACUCAAGCAAUUUACCUUUCCUAACUCACAUAGUGGCGGACAUACAAUGUACUAAGGGGUAGCCCCCGCAACCCCUUAACCGCUCGUUGGUAGUGUAAAAAUUUAUUUUUGGACGUUUUUUCGAUUUAGUUACCCCUUAAAAAAUUAUGUUACCCCUCUUUGAUGACUUGUGACUUUUGCGUUACUUUUUUAUUUCAUUGUACUUUACUAAUUUCAUUAGUACUUGAAUGUUUAUUUAUUUCAAAGGAUUGUUUCAGCAAUUUUAAGUUGUGUAUUUGUGUGUUAGUCUACCCGUGAAGUUCGCGGGUUCUUAAACUAGUCUAUAUGACUUAUAUGUCAUGUUAGUAGUGUUUUGAUACUUGUGUGAUCAUAAAAAGUUGGUAAUAGGAAGAAGGCAUUUGGUCA